rnacentral:rRNA from 1 species
CAGCAGCCGCGGUAAUACGUAGGUGGCAAGCGUUGUCCGGAAUUAUUGGGCGUAAAGGGCUCGCAGGCAGUUUCUUAAGUCUGAUGUGAAAGCCCCCGGCUCAACCGGGGAGGGUCAUUGGAAACUGGGAAACUUGAGUGCAGAAGAGGAGAGUGGAAUUCCACGUGUAGCGGUGAAAUGCGUAGAGAUGUGGAGGAACACCAGUGGCGAAGGCGACUCUCUGGUCUGUAACUGACGCUGAGGAGCGAAAGCGUGGGGAGCGAACAGGAUUAGAUACCCCUGUAGUCCCUGUCUCUUAUAA